UACGGGGGGGGCAAGCGUUGUUCGGAUUUACUGGGCGUAAAGGGCGCGUAGGCGGUCGUGACAAGUCACUUGUGAAAUCUCCGGGCUUAACUCGGAACGGUCAAGUGAUACUGUCGGACUAGAGUACAGAAGGGGCAACUGGAAUCCUCGGUGUAGCGGUGAAAUGCGUAGAUAUCGAGAGGAACACCUGCGGCGAAGGCGGGUUGCUGGGCUGAUACUGACGCUGAGGCGCGAAAGCCAGGGGAGCGAACGGG
rnacentral:rRNA from 1 species